rnacentral:rRNA from 1 species
GACGAACGCUGGCGGCGUGCCUAAUACAUGCAAGUUGAGCGCUGAAGGUUGGUACUUGUACCAACUGGAUGAGCAGCGAACGGGUGAGUAACGCGUGGGGAAUCUGCCUUUGAGCGGGGGACAACAUUUGGAAACGAAUGCUAAUACCGCAUAAAAACUUUAAACACAAGUUUUAAGUUUGAAAGAUGCAAUUGCAUCACUCAAAGAUGAUCCCGCGUUGUAUUAGCUAGUUGGUGAGGUAAAGGCUCACCAAGGCGAUGAUACAUAGCCGACCUGAGAGGGUGGGCGGCCACAAUGGGACUGAGACACGGCCCAAACGCCUACGGGAGGCAGCAGUAGGGAAUCUUCGGCAAUGGGCGAAAGUCUGACCGAGCAACGCCGCGUGAGUGAAGAAGGUUUUCGGAUCGUAAAACUCUGUUGGUAGAGAAGAACGUUGGUGAGAGUGGAAAGCUCAUCAAGUGACGGUAACUACCCAGAAAGGGACGGCUAACUACGUG